UACGGAGGGGGCUAGCGUUGUUCGGAAUUACUGGGCGUAAAGCGCACGUAGGCGGACCAUCAAGUUGGGGGUGAAAUCCCGGGGCUCAACCCCGGAACUGCCUCCAAAACUGCUGGUCUGGAGGUCGAGAGAGGUGAGUGGAAUUCCGAGUGUAGAGGUGAAAUUCGUAGAUAUUGGGAAGAACACCGGUGGCGAAGGCGGCUCUCUGGACCGAGACUGACGCUGAGGCGCGAAAGCGUGGGGAGCAAACAGG
rnacentral:rRNA from 1 species